rnacentral:rRNA from 1 species
UUAAGCAUAUCAAUAAGCGGAGGAAAAGAAACUAACAAGGAUUCCCCUAGUAACUGCGAGUGAAGCGGGAAGAGCUCAAAUUUAAAAUCUGGCGUGCCUCUGGUCGUCCGAGUUGUAGUCUGGAGAAGCGUUUUCCGUGUUGGACCGUGUAUAAGUCUCUUGGAACAGGGCGUCAUAGAGGGUGAGAAUCCCGUCUUUGACACGGACUACCAAUGCUUUGUGAUGCGCUCUCAAAGAGUCGAGUUGUUUGGGAAUGCAGCUCAAAAUGGGUGGUAAAUUCCAUCUAAAGCUAAAUAUAGGCGAGAGACCGAUAGCGAACAAGUACCGUGAGGGAAAGAUGAAAAGCACUUUGGAAAGAGAGUUAAACAGUACGUGAAAUUGCUGAAAGGGAAACGCUUGAAGUCAGUCACGUCUGCCAGGACUCAGCCUUGCUUCUGCUUGGUGUACUUUCUGGUUUGAUGGGCCAACAUCAAUUUUGACCGUUGGAGAAAGGCUUUGGGAAUGUGGCACCUUCGGGUGUGUUAUAGCCCAUUGUUGUAUACAGCGGUUGGGAUUGAGGACUGCAGCACGCCUUUAUGGCCGGGGUUUAUGCCCACGUA